rnacentral:misc_RNA from 1 species
GGUGAUGCCGCGCCGACCGCAACGACUGUCGCGCCUCCAUCGAACAUCGUCGACCCGGCAUGGGCCGCGACGGACUGGACGCUUAGCCUCGCCGUGCGCACUGCGCGGUUCUGGUGGAUCUCGCUCGGCUAUUUCNNNNNNNNUCUAUGUCUGGUAUGCCGUGCAGGUGCAUCAGACCAAGUAUCUCGUCGAGAUCGGUUUCAGUUCAA